UAGUGAAAUAAGAGUCGACAUUAAUAGAAGAUUUCGAUGCAGUUUCUGUAUCUGCUGUUCCAACAGAAAGAGAAGAUGAUAAAUCAAGGUUACCAGAGCAGCAGCAAGGUCCUAUGCAGGCCCCUGUGAACCAAACCAUAAUGCUUUAGACGAGGACUUUAUCAGGGCAUCGUGAACAGCCAACUAUGGAUGAAGAAUUCGAUUUGGAGAUACCAAAAAUUGAUAAUCCAAAUAGUUAAAGUGAAGCUGUAGACUGGAGCAGUGGGCUAUUUGAUUGCUGGAGGAGCCCUUGCAAUGCCCUUGUCACUGCCUGCUGCCCAUGCGUGACGUUCGGCCGGGUUGCAGAAAUCCUCGAUGAAGGCCACAUCUCAUGCUGUACUAGUGCAAUGGUUUACAUGGGGCUUUUCAUCUUCAUUACACAAUGGGCGCCAUGCAAACUCACAUCCAUUUACCGAAAAAAACUCAGGAAAAAGUUCAACAUUUAUGAGGCUCCUACACUUGACUGGGUCACUCAUCUUCUCUGUCAACCUUGUGCUUUUUGUCAAGAGUACAGAGAGCUUCAAUCCAGAAACAUGGAUCCUUCCCUCGGUUGGAAAAGAAUCAAAGCGAUGAAGAAAAACAACAAUCAGGAGCCAGAAAUGAGGGCGCCCGAUAAUCAAAGAAUGAAUAGAGCUUGAAGUGGAAAUUUAAUCAAGUUUAAAAAUAAAUCAUAUAUAGUUUGUGGUGUGAGUUUGAACUUUUUGUUCUUUAAUUUUCGUGUAUUAUCUAAUAACCUGUUAAAUGGAGAGAUAAUUGAAUAAAACAA